rnacentral:rRNA from 1 species
AAUGAACGCUGGCGGCAUGCCUAACACAUGCAAGUCGAACGAACACACGGUGAGCUUUCUCCCCUGCCGUUGGCGGCGGGCGGGCGAGUAACACGUGGAUAACCUACCUCUAUGACUGGGGUGAUAACGCGGAACCAGAUCUACUAACGGAUCAUAUAUCGUACCGGAUGGAUCAAUAGUUCUAGACGGUUUUGCUGUUACUAAUAGCCGAUUCCGCGUCGCAUCAGCUAGUUGGUAAGGUAACGGCUUACCAAGGCGACGAUGCGUAGCCGACCUGAGAGGGUGAUCAGCCACACUGGAACUGAGACACGGUCCAGACUCCUACGGGAGGCAGCAGUAGGGAAUCUUACGCAAUGGGCGAAAGCCUGAUGGAGCAACGCCGCGUGAGUGAUGAAGGUCUUCGGAUCGUAAAGCGCUGUUAUUAGGGAAGAAGAAAAGCGUGUUUACCCAUGAUCGUCCUGACGGUACCUAAAGAAUAAGCACCGGCUAACUACGUG